CGGUGCUCAAUAGGAUGCUUACAAAACUGAAAGGUAAUAUAACAGAUCACCUAACAUAUAUUAACAUAUUUGUCCUGAGGCCAACGGAUGUAAAUAAAAUACCACAAGUUUCCUUAGCCGAAAUCAUAUUGAUAAUUUCCCAAGUGAUUUAAGAUUUGUCUUUCUUGUUUUAAAAAAUGUUUAAUCUUUUGGCUUCUGACAGCACCAGCAAGUUCCACAGCCUGGAUAGUUAUUAUUUAUGCCUUUCGUGAACUUCCGUCCAUGUUUUUCACAUAUCGCUUUUUCUCCAAAUAUUAUCAUUACCAAUUUGUUUGCGACUGUAUAAUGAUAACAUUUCCAUUUACUUGAAGCUGAAAAAUAU
rnacentral:lncRNA from 1 species